ACAAAGAUGGUCCCUGCCUUCCAGGAGCUUACUACAGAGCAGAGAUGACAGCUACACAUAAAACAAACUAUAAAAUGAAAAGAAAAGAAAAAAAAAAGGGAGGGGGGCAUAGGAGUUCACAGAAGGAGUAAUUACUUCUCGUUGGUAGGAAUCAAAAGAGCCUCCACAAGGUUCACAAGGGAAGUGACAUAUGAGCCAGGAAUUGAACUGUCAACAACUCCUUGGGAAGCGAUCCAGAGGUUGCCAAUGGGAAUAUCCUGUCCAUGGUCCCCACAGGUCAAUCGUAAGUAUCCCAAACAUUCGAGACAUCUAGAGUGUGCAAGCCUGAUAUUUAACCUUCUUACAGGAAAGUGAUUAUUUUUUCAGAUGCCAUGCACCUUAUAAACUUGAAUGAAACAGAAGCAGACAAAAAGAAGAACAGCAGCAA
rnacentral:lncRNA from 1 species